rnacentral:rRNA from 1 species
CAGUCGCCGCGGUAAUACGAAGGGUGCAAGCGUUACUCGGAAUUACUGGGCGUAAAGCGUGCGUAGGUGGUGGUUUAAGUCCGUUGUGAAAGCCCUGGGCUCGACCUGGGAAUUGCAGUGGAUACUGGAUCACUAGAGUGUGGUAGAGGAUAGUGGAAUUUCCGGUGUAGCAGUGAAAUGCGUAGAGAUCGGAAGGAACAUCUGUGGCGAAGGCGACUAUCUGGGCCAACACUGACACUGAGGCACGAAAGCGUGGGGAGCAAACAGGAUUAGAUACCCCAGUAGUCCCUGUCUCUUAUAC